UACGUAGGGGGCAAGCGUUGUCCGGAAUUAUUGGGCGUAAAGAGCGUGUAGGCGGUCCGGUAAGUCAGCUGUGAAAGUCAAGGGCUCAACCCUUGAAAGCCGGUUGAUACUGUCGGGCUAGAGUUCGGAAGAGGCGAGUGGAAUUCCCGGUGUAGCGGUGAAAUGCGCAGAUAUCGGGAGGAACACCAAUGGCGAAGGCAGCUCGCUGGGACGGUACUGACGCUGAGACGCGAAAAGCGUGGGGGAGCAAACAGG
rnacentral:rRNA from 1 species